rnacentral:rRNA from 1 species
GGGGUUCGAUUAAGCCAUGCGAGUCGAGAGGUGCAAGACCUCGGCGCACUGCUCAGUAACACGUGGAUAACCUACCCUCAGGAGGGGGAUAACCCCGGGAAACUGGGGAUAAUACCCCAUAGACCAGAGACGCUGGAAUGCCCCCUGGUUCAAAGGUCCGCCGCCUGAGGAUGGGUCUGCGGCCGAUUAGGUUGUUGUUGGGGUAACGGCCCAACAAGCCUUUGAUCGGUACGGGUUGUGAGAGCAAGAGCCCGGAGAUGGAUUCUGAGACACGAAUCCAGGCCCUACGGGGCGCAGCAGGCGCGAAAACUUUACAAUGCGAGAAAUCGUGAUAAGGGAACCCCGAGUGCCCGUAAAUUCGGGCUGUCCAUCAGUGUAAAAAGCUGGUGAAGAAAGGGCCGGGCAAGACCGGUGCCAGCCGCCGCGGUAAUACCGGCGGCUCGAGUGGUGGCCACUAUUACUGGGCUUAAAGCGUCCGUAGCUUGAUUGUUAAGUCUCUUGGGAAAUCCACCGGCUCAA